rnacentral:rRNA from 1 species
UGGGGAAUAUUGCACAAUGGGCGAAAGCCUGAUGCAGCAACGCCGCGUGAGUGAUGAAGGCCUUCGGGUUGUAAAGCUCUGUCUUUUGGGACGAUAAUGACGGUACCAAAGGAGGAAGCCACGGCUAACUACGUGCCAGCAGCCGCGGUAAUACGUAGGUGGCAAGCGUUGUCCGGAUUUACUGGGCGUAAAGGAUGCGUAGGCGGAUUUUUAAGUGAGAUGUGAAAACCCUAAGCUUAACUUGGGGACUGCAUUUCAUACUGGAAAUCUAGAGUGCGGGAGAGGAGAAUGGAAUUCCUAGUGUAGCGGUGAAAUGCGUAGAGAUUAGGAAGAACACCAGUGGCGAAGGCGAUUCUCUGGACCGUAACUGACGCUGAGGCAUGAGAGCGUGGGUAGCAAACAGGAUUAGAUACCCUGGUAGUCCACGCCGUAAACGAUGAGUACUAGGUGUAGGAGGUAUCGACCCCUUCUGUGCCGCAGUUAACACAAUAAGUACUCCGCCUGGGAAGUACGAUCGCAAGAUUAAAAACUUAAAUGAAUUGAC